rnacentral:rRNA from 1 species
GGAUGCGAUCAUACCAGCACUAAAGCACCGGAUCCCAUCAAAACUCCGAAGCUAAGCGUGCUUGGGCGAGAGUAGUACUAGGAUGGGUGACCUCCUGGGAAGUCCUCGUGUUGCAUUCCC